UACAAACCUAAGCUAACAGGCUAAAGGCUUCAAGCUAACAAGCUAGCUUCAGUGCACAGCAGAGUGAUUUCAAGUUCCUGAAAAUGCAGAACAUAUGCUUACAAACGUCCAGCGUUUUGGAGACAUGAGGUAACUGGACUUCUGCUUGGAUAAAGUGGUGGGGCCAAACUUCCCCUGAGGUUUUCAUUUGUGAGACGACAGACAGCUUCUCACCCAGGUACUCUGAAAUGCUGAUCAGCACACAAGCGCAGACAGCAGUCAGGAACAAACCUCGUCGUCCACCGAGAAAAACUCCACCAUGCAGGCAUCAAGCUGAGGGGAGACCAAGAUACACACCUACAGGAGGACCUACAGGAGGAUGGGUCCAUGUCCCUUCUUCAAGCUGCACCCCAACAGGCCCCAUAGGCUGAGGCCCAGCUACCACUCUGUAACUCUGUCCCAGGACCGAUUUGCCAUGGGAGAUAACAUCAGGGACACAAGCCCCCCAACAGCAAACCCACCUGGGACGCACAAACCCCUCCACCACACAGGUCCACCCAGUCUGCUGCCUCUGUGAAGUGAUGGGAUGUGUGAUGAGUGUGAAGCAGAGAGCGUAGUCCUGCACACAGCAGAGUUCAUCCUGGUACUUCUGUCACCUGUCACACCUCCAACAAACAGCAGAGAUCAUAGAAGCUGCACAUGCUGACGGUGUAACACGCCUGCACCGUGCUGGAUGGAUGAUGCAGCGUACAUCGGAUCAUCAGCUCUUUAUCUCCUUCUCCAAAAUGUUCUUUUCCAGGCAUUACUUUAAGUUCAUCUUCAGUUUAUUUAGACAAACAGUGCUUUUGUCUUUACAGAAUGCAGAAAAAACUCUUUUACAUGUUUUCUGGUAAUAUACUUUAUAUAUUAUUUAUUGUAAUAUAUGUUUUAAGCUGAGUUUGUCAGAGAAUAAAGAGGGGCUCA